CCUUGCAACCACAAUUUGAAGGCGUUGACUUUGUUGCCCCUCACUCUCUCUCUAUCUCGCUCUGUCCCUCCCGCUCCCUCCCGCUCUGUUAUUUUCAUUUCUUCCAGCACUGUGUGAAGAGUUGUGUGCUAUGACAGAGCAAAAUGAGGUGCAGUUACCUCCUGUAAAAAAUGGAAAGACGAAAGUAAAGACAGCAUCAUGAUAAGGAUCAGGACUAAUCAAAACCACGAGAAAGACUGAUGAAGGUGCCGUCUUUGCUCUGCUGUACAGAAGCUGACAGGACAGAAGUGGACACAGCGUAGUUGGAUACCUGGAUGUAAACUUCUGCCUCUGCAGAGGGAAGGAGGGGCGUUUCAGGACAGAAAAUGCAGCUGUGUUUGUGUGUGUGUUUGUGUGUGUGUGUGUGUGCUGAUUCCGGGUCAUGCCAUCCCCAUGCUCUACCUCAUGGAGUGCUGCCAAUGCUGACGGCUGCUGCUGUGUGUCUGGCACCCCCACCCCCUUCCACUGCAGGGAACUGAUUAAGUGGAAGCUCGACCUCACCUGCUGUUGCCAGCCAAUACCGAUACACUAGAUGCUCCAUUCAGCCAAUACCAAACCAGGAAGAUUUGGCAAGGCUGGAGACAAACCAGCACACCAGCAAACCAGCAGCCCUUUUUUUUCGGCAGUGGAGAGAAAGUAAAACAAAUGAGGAGAGUGGUCAAGAAACGUGUCGAAAAAGCGGGCUAGACUGAGGAUAAUGAAACAAACAGAUGAUGGAAGUGUGAGGGACGAUACCUGCCAAAAAGGAAGAUGUUGAAAAGAGGGAGAGAUGGGAAGAAAGGUGUGCUGAAGGGGGAAAGAAACUGGUUCAAGGACAAGCACACAAGGAAUGAUUCCGCCUAACACACACACACACACACACACACACGCAACAAAUAUUCUCAGGUGGUGUAUUUUUGGCACAUCGUAGGCUUCAUAUGAGGAAAACUGCAAUGAUCUCUUUGGCUGGCUGAUGGGCUGUUUCAAUCCUAAUGUCUCUUUGGCAAUUUAAAAAAACUAAAUAUGAGUCAUUUAACCCAUCAUUUUCCAUACCACCCGGUGAAAAUACAUGCAUUGAAAAUGCAUCAUAUUUAGAAUGUUUAGGGAAAUUUUUGUUGUUUGUUUGCAUCUCCAUCCAUUAGUUUUCUAUGUUGCUAGUCCUCACUGGGGUCGCGGAGGUAUGCUGGAGCCUAGCCCAGCUGACUUUGGGGGCAGGGUACACCCUGGACUGGUCGCCAGCCAAUCGCAGGGCACUGUUUGCAUCUCACGUGAUUAAAAUAUGUUAGUAUAGCGCAGUGGUUCCAAACAACUGUGCCAGAUCAUCAGGUCUUCAAAUUUAACAUAAUUGGUCAGAAAAUAAACACAGGUUGUCCUCGGUUUAUGGAACUCUGCAAAUGUUAUGUUCACAAAAAUCAUAAAACUCUUUAAGACUACACAUAACUGGCAGGUGGCUACAGCAUCCUUGAGCAUGUUAAAGGAUCUGCGUCUAUGUAAGUGAGUGAUAACAACAGCGUAAGUGGUCUUAUUAAUGCGAUGGAAAGGUUGAUACUGCUUUGGGCUUUAUUUUUGUAUUACUUGUGAUUAUGUUUUAUUACUUUACCAGGCAUAACAAUUAAUUAUUUUCCACUAGGUGGCAGAGGGUACCUUGGGGUCAUACAAAGAUGGACCAGCACAAACACGGGGUGUAAAAAGAAGAAGAGACCAGGAAUAAAGCACUGACAUUGGUUAAUAACACGUUACACGUGCAUGAAAAGUAUGAAUGUUAAAGAAAUGUGUGCAAAUCACCUUCGCAUUACACAGUUGUCAUUGAGAAUGAGACUUUGUGUUGUAUUAAUAGUCAACAAAAAAUGAAGGUUUCACCAGGAUAUGGCAUUUAACAUUUAAUGUGCUGCUGUUAACAUUUUAGCAAUUAAGGAAUUACAGUGCACCAAUUUUAUGCACAAUAUCCCUUUUUCCAGGGGCUCGUUAGUAUGUGGAUAUACAUUAUUGGUAUUGCUUGAGUUUAUUUAAUUUCCUAAGACCGUGAUUGUAGGGUGGUGCUGCCCUUUUUGGCUUUGCAACUUUCUCUGGGACGGUCAUGACUGUCCCCAAACCAAACAGGAAUCACUUUUAUAAAAUCACAUUUAAAAAAAGGGGCGCUUCAGCUGCUGUUUCUGUGCCAUUCUCCAUUUUGAAAGCUUCGUGUGUCUCAAUUAGACACAAUAUUUCUGCCGACAGACUGCCUCACUUGAACAUGAAAGCCUGGGCUUAAGGAAGUCAUCACACACCUCACCAGGGGAAAGACUCACACACACAUGCAUGCAAACCCUAAAAAUAGAUCGAGGCAGCUCUCCUACAAACGCUGGUUAAUGCUCCUACCCCAGACAGUUUCAUUUGCAUAUCUUUAAUGUGUUUCGUGAGCGGCUUGCAGUGUGGUUGGUUCUUUUUGUAGCAAUGCAAAGCUAAAAAGACUUAUUGUGGUAAUUAGAGGUUUUGGUCAUUUCUGUAACACUAUAUCUGGUUUGUCAUAGUGAAGAAAGUUUUAAGUCUCUUGAUGGUAAGGGACAGUCAUCCCUAAAGCUCACUAACAAGUAGCACUUUCUCUUAUUCCGUAGCAUCAAAUCAACAGUAAGCAUCAAAGUCUCCCAUCCAUGCAGACCUUUUAGAUGCAGAGAAAAACUAUUCAUUUUGUAUUUUUCUAGCAAAAUGGCCCAUGGUUUCGGAGUUUAAACUACACACUCAAUUUUGAGCCUGUAAACAAACAAACAACAAAUAAUGCCAUGCUCCCUUAUUCGUACAACAUCGCAAUUUUCAGCUCUGCAACACCAUUGUAAAAGGGUUUUUCCAAUAAUCAGUUAACUUUAAAAAUGAUUAACUUGGUUAAAAACUGCCACACCAAGAGAUUGAGUCAUCUGAUCAUCAUAACUGUUUGUGAAAUAGAUACCAUUACUAGCACAAUUGCAUGUGGAUGUGCUUAUCAUUGAAAAACAAAACAUGUGCAAGAGCAGGACUAUGUGUGACUCGUGUGUAGCCAAAUGGGUUCAGUUCCUACUUAGUGACGGUGUGAGUGUGAAUGGACUUCAUACAGUAUGUGCCCUGUGAUUGACAGGCGACCGGCUCAGGGUGUUUUCCGCCUUUCGCUGAAAGCCAGCUGGCAUAGGCUCCAGCUUCCCUAUGACCUUGAACAGGAUAAGGGGUAGAUGCACAGAUGUUUGUUGUUCUGUCUUUGAAAAGGUUAGCAGAUUUUAUUUUAAACCUGCUCUAAUGGAUUUAUUUAUUUUUCCCAAGGGGGAAGACUUUAAACACAACAACACAUACAUAUUUAAUCUUAAUGUGCUGUCAAGAUGAGAAAGUUAUUUGUACCUCCGCUAACCACUGACAAAAAAGGAUUAACAACACAUAUUUGGAAAAUUCUAAUGUUCUGCAGCAAAAAACUGUGUCUUUUUUACAUGGGAGGAAUAAGCCGUCAUUUCCCCUCAAAAUGCAUGUUUCAAAAUAAAACAUCUAUGCCUCCUUUUUUUCAAGAGCUACUUUGACUUCAAUUCAAUUCAAAAAUAUCCAAAUAUGGAGGACCUUAUAAUUCUGCUCACAAUGAAAUAAAAUAAAUGUAACACAAAAUCACAAUGUUGCAAUGUGCCAGCCAGAAGCACCCUGACGACUCAUGGGUACCUGAAUGAGAGCCUCCAAACCAGUGUCGGAUCUUCUGCAGGUGCAGUGGCCCUUUUGGUGCCUUUUGGUGCAUGACAAUGCCCCGCAUCAUGACAUCAGCAAUUCCUGGACACGAUCCUUGUGAGCAGGCAUGGCCAGAAGUUGUAUGGAGUGCAUACAGGUCUGUGGAGGACAUACAAUACAAUACAGGCCAAGCCUCACAUGUCAUCAUGAAAAAACAUCCAUCCAAGCUUUUUCUAUACAGCUUGUCCUCAGUGCACUGAGUUGGAUGGUGAUUUGUGUUUGUCAGCAUGUGGCCAAUGUAAUGUUUGCAGGAACAUUUAUUAUACGCCAUUACUUUGGAUCAGAGACGCGCAGUCAGGGAUGGCAAAUUUAAAAAACCUAAGGUGAGCGUCUCUUCUCGGCUUAGAAGGUAACCCCUUCUUAGGCUACCGUCUGAGUGCCCUCAAUGAGUGAACUGAGUUAGAUCAUGGCGCCUGCCAGUUUCUGUUUGUCAGCAUGUCACCAAUAAUAUAAUGUUGCAGAAACAUUUAUUAUACACCAUGACUAUCUAUAGCCUGUGGAAUGUCUUUAAUGUAAGUGUGACAUCAUUAUUCUUGCUAAUCGGACUCUAAAGUACACAGAAAUGUCAUGUGGUGCCUGCGUCAUCCUGAAGGGAUGGGGGUGUGCAUGAGCUGGAAGAUGCUUGUCACUGCCGUCCUUCCAUAGUGAGGAAAAGCCAGCUUUUUUCACAGCAACACCGUCUGGAGAGCAGUGCAUUAAAUAUAUUUUUAUGCUCUGCUGAAUGAAUGAAGAUGGAGGGAUAUACACCCAAGCUCACCAGGAGGUGAUCAGACUUUUACAACAAAGUAUCAGAGUUUGUCCUAGAGGAGGAUAGGGUGCAUGUACUACAUAUACAAAUAAAAGUAAGACCACAAAUGUUUUUCAGUGAACCAAAACAAAAGAAACGGGACUAAGUGUUUGAAAAUUUGAUUUAACAAAAGUGAAUUAUUCUCUUCUCUUUCUUGUCAUCCUUUUACUGAACAACCUGUAUUAACAUUAAAAAAAAACAACAACAAAGGAGUCAGUACCUCACCAGCCAUGAACCCAACCGCACGACACUGCUUCAGUGGGUUCAUGAUUUGGGUGUCUAUAUAUGAUAUAUGUGAUUUUGUUUGCAUUCACUGGGCUCUGUGAUAUGUCAUAUAUAAUUUAUUUUUUGAGCAGAUACAUUGACCUGAAUAUGGAUUUGGUCACUAGAGACAAGGGCCUUGUGACUGAUCCUCUUUAGCCUAAGGGAUGGCUGAGGUCAUGGUUAGCUGCUCGGUCCAGCUUUGAAUGAGGGCGACAUGUAGCCAGCAAAACCUUCCCUCAACUGCUUGAUGGAUAGAGAGCUACUUUUUGUGCUACGGUGGUUGCGAGAGAUCAGUAUCGUAAGUCAGUCAGCUGAUUAACCGGCUAGCCUCAGGAUGGAAAACUCAAGGACAACUUGUUCUCUCUCCCUGGAUUCACUGUACCCGGCAGGUUUAAAAAAAAAAAAUGCAUACUGAACCACAAAGGCUGAAACAAGGUUAUACUGAACAGUCAGAGAGGUGGAAUGCAUUCAUUAAUGUUAGUUUGAGGGGUCUCCUUCGUAAGUAUUCAGUGUCCGUCUCUAUUUUAUACACGAGCAUCAAGCCACCCCUGAGGCUGUCAUUCUCACUGCGCAUAUCCAUUUAGACGAAAAAACAAUAUAGUUUAAAAACAGAACAAUUUGAUGCAAAUCGAUACAGUGUACAAACGAUAUGAUUCGAUACGAUUCUACAGUUAACAUUUGUUGAUGUAGACAUUGAUCUUACAUUAUAAAGUACAGAAGCCAGUUCUAUAAAAGUCCCACGACCUUAAUGAGGAUUAAGCGGCAUAGGAAAAAAAAUGUAUUAAUGAAUUCUAUAAAAGUGGCCUUCUUAAAGUAUUUUCUAAUGUGUAAAAGAACACAUCAUAUCUCCAAGCAAGCCAUAAGGCACUGGCAAAAAUCAAGUGCAACAUGUUUUUGUUUGAUGAGAUGUAUGUAAAAUAGAUGAAUAAAAAACAUAAAAUAAAAUAAAAAAACAAGUCUUAGCCUUCGAUCCAAUCAAUAUACCGUGUUUUCUGGACUAUAGGCCGCUCCAGAGUAUAAAGUCGCACCAGCCAAAAAUGCACAAUGUAAUAUAUAAGUCACAUUAUUUGGAGGGAAAUUUAUUUUAUAAAAUCAGAGACCAAGAACAGACAUUUCAUCUUGAAAGGCAAGUUAUAGUAAUAAUAAAAUGGAGAACAACAGGCUAAAUAAGCGUCUGUUAACGUAACAUAUUAAAACAACCAGCAAAGUCAUCUAUGUUCAUUGCUUUGGCACCAACUUGGCCGUGGAGACGUAACUGCACUGUUGACAAGCCUCUCCCAGCGGCACGUUGUUCAAGCACCCGUUUGUGAAGUUGUUCCUCUAGCUGUGGCCAUCUCGCUUUUAUCCUGAGAUAAGCUUUUUUUGUUUCCUUCAUUGCAGUUCGAGUAUCCUGCGCUUUUCGCCAGUCCCUCACAAGUUUCUCGUUCACUCCAAACUUUCUUUCUGCUGCUCGAUUACCAUCUUUAACUGCACUUGUGGUCCGUCUUUCUCAGUUGUCUUUAUAAGCUUUAUAAGCGUGUGCAAAUAGACUAUGAACAGGUACGCAGACGGAAUAAAAUGACAUUCCAAACCAUAGAAGAAGAAAAAAACGGAUGUGCACAAGUCCGUCGUCUUCCGCUUACGAGAAGUAGAAUUACUUCUGCAAGUCAUUAUGGAGAAAACUUCAUAUCAUGUCUUCUGAAUGCUUUAUAUUUGUAUUUUCGUUCAUUUUCCAUUUUUAUGCUUGAAAAUACUUGUGCCGAGAAGACAGGCAAUUUGCUUAAAUAUGCAUUUGAAAUAUGCAUUUUUUUAGUCAGUUAAUAUUCAACCACAAAACAGAUAAUUUAUUAAUGAAUGCAUUUUUGUAAAACCGCAAUUGAGCGAGCGCGCGAUGUUCAAACUGCAUUGCAGAGAGAGACAACUUUAGUGUUUUUUUUUCUUCUUUUUUCGUACAAGUUCUAGAGUGACACCAACGAUUUCUUGUGUGUUUUAUCAUACUUGGCCAAUACAAAUGAUGUUUCCUGAGUCACCCUGGUAUUGUUCAUAGGAGUAUCUGUGCAGGACAUUUGCAAGGCAGUGAUCUUGGUUUGUCUUACACUUCAGUAGGUUUUGUUAGUAUCUGCCAGUGUGGGUAUACAUGCUUCAGUCAAAUAGAUUCUAGGUACUGCAGUACUCGCUUUGUCAUUCAUUCUCCACUUUUCAGCCCAUCUGACUGCAGUCAUUCUGUCACCUGUGAUUUCCCCUGUUUCUGUACAAGAGUCUUCCAAGCUAUACAAGCCCCCGUCCAGUGGAAGAACGCGAGGCACGAUGCCAGCCAGCCAGGGCGCCAGUCGGGUAGAACAUCAGUAGCAUUAAAGACAUGUUAUCCACCCAAGUGGAUCUGCCUGGCUUAGAGCCCUGAUCCCCUGUGUGGGCCCCUCCACUCAAUGCUGUCCCUCUAUUCCAUUAGACCCUUCUUGCUUUAUCAGCGUAGCACUCAGACAUCCAGUGUGCUGCUUUAUGUCUCUUAAAAUACGCACACAACUAAAUGACUUGGGUGCUUGAAAUAACUACUUUCUCAUCUCCAGCCAAGCUACCCUGUCAGUCAACUCUUUAAAGGGACAGGGACUGGAAAACAGGAGAAACAGAACUGAUGUCCACUUGUUUUAUUAAAGAAUAUAAAGUCAACUUUUAUCCCUCCAUCUUGCACGCUAGUCCCUUAGAUCCUUCAAAUGGCACGAUAUGCUUUGUUUUAUACCGUAAAUAGCUACGGUACAUAAGGGACGUGGGGUCAUUGGCUAAAAAUAUAUUUUUUCCUGUUUGGUUUCAGAAUUUACAUCAGUUGUGUCGGGAAUUAACGGGAAUUGCAUUGUUUCAUGGAUUCACUUUUCGACUUCAUUCUAUAUUGAUAAUGAAACUGCCCUUUGUAAAGAUACUACCGGAACUGAGAAGGGUAGAAGGAGUUUCAUUGAGUCUUUGUGGAUUUAGAAAAAGUGUACGACAGAGCGUGGUGAGAGAAGCUGUGGUACAGCAUGAGGAAAUCUGGGCUGACAGAGAAAUACUGUAUGUUAGAGUUGUACAGGAAAUGUAUGAGGGCAGCACGACCACAGUGAGGUGUGCUGUCGGUGUCACAGAUAGAUUUCAGGUGCAGGUUGGACUGCAUCAAGGAUUGGUCCUGAGCCCCAUGGACAACAAUGUUGACAGAUGACAUUGUGAUCUGCAGUAAAUGCAGAGAGCAGAUGGAAGGAAACCUAGACAAGUGAAGGAAUAAGCUGGAGGGGAGAGAAAUGAAGGUCAGUCACAGCAAGACAGAAUACAUGUGUGUCAAUAAAAGGGUAUUAGGUAGAAGUGUGAGGAUGCAAGGAGUAGAGGUGAGGAAGGCGGAGGAGUUGAAGUACUUAGGUUCAAUUGUUCAGAGCAACGGAGAGUGUGGAAAAGAGGUCAAGAAGCGAGUGUUGGCAGGGUGGAGUGGGUUGAGAAGAGUGCCAGCAUUCCUUUGUGACAAAAGAGUAUCAGCAAAAGUGAGGGAAAAGAUUUACAGGACGGUAGUGAGACCACCCCUGGUGUAUGGCCUGGAGACCACAGCUCUGACCAACACACAGGAGGAGGAGGCAGAGCUGAAGAUGCUAGAUUUUCAUUGGGAGUGAUGAGAAUGGACAGGAUUAGAAAUCACAUCAGAGGACGUAUACGUCUCAGUAGACGUCUCUCAAGGUCAGAGAAGCCAGACUGAGAUGUUUUGGCCAUGUGAGAAGGAGGGAUUGUGAUGAUAUUGGUAUUGGUAAUGAUGCUGGAGAUGGGGCUGGCAAGGAGGACAAAAUGGCAGAAGACCAUCCACCCAUCCUUUUUCUAUGCCGCUUAUCCUAAUUAGGGUCACGGGGGUAUGCUGGAGCCUAUCCCAGCUGACUUUGGGCGAGACUGGACUGGUCGCCAGCCAAUCGCAGGGCACAUAUACACAAACAAUCACUCACACUCACAUUCAUACCUAUGGGCAAUUUAGAGUCGCAAAUUAACCUAACAUGCAUGUUUUUUUGGAAUGUGGGAGGAAACCGGAGUAUUGGGAGAAAACCCAUGCACACACGGGGAGAACAUGCAAACUCCACACAUAGAUACCGAAGGAAAUUCAAACCCAGGUCUUCCAGAUCUACUGACUGUGUGGCCAACAUGCUAACCACUUGGCCACAGUGCAGCAUGGCGGAAGACCAAUGACAAGAUUUCUAAUGUGUUUAGAGAAGACAAGCAGGUGGGAGGACUGACAGAGGAAGAUGCAAAGGACAGAGCAAGGUGGUAAUCCCUCAAAAAUUUGAUAUGAAUCAUAUCAGAUCAUAUUGUGGUCAGUUUUACGACCGAUAAACGUGCUCCAAAACGCUGGUUAUGCAAGGGGGGGAUUGAGACGUCUUCCUUCAAUAUUUUUAAUCUAAUAUCACACCUCUGGAAGAAUCACUCGAAGUCGCACGCAGUGUUUUAGCACUUUUUUAAUAACUUGUUACAUAUUGCAGUAUUUGUCUGAUUUUGCACAAACAGAAGCAUAAUGUGUUCAUUACAUGACACUAGUUGGAGAGAAGCUGCUGCUGCUGAUACGAUAUCGCGUUGGACAUAUUUGAUAUCGGUAAGAAAGCCACUAUUGAUAAUCUCUAGAAUUAAUUCAUCAUGGGAGUAUUAUUUAAAAACCUUCAUUCAGCAAUAUUUCAAGCUCAAAAUAUGGUCAAGAGCUGUUAAAAAUGAAUAAAACUGACCUAUUGCACAGCUUAUUUCUGGUUUGAAUGCAUUCAUCGGUUGCCUGUCCGCUCAUCAGCAGCUGGUGCAAAGUGAGCUGCUGCUGCUGCUCCAAACAAGCUCUUCCUGUUAGCAAUAAACCAGUGAUGAAUUCAUUUGCGUUUGUAUGAGAAUGCACAAAUGAAUAUUUAGGAAUUGAGCAAAAAUAUCGUUAUAAGGGCGUUCCUGCCAUGUCGGACAGACAUGCAGGGAUCGGCGGGCGGGCUGCUUCCAGAUGCGUACAAACAGCAAGCCGA